AUUGUAUACGGCCAUCCUCAUGGCACACGCAGAGGAUCCCAUCCCGAAUUCCUUCCUUAAGCGCCUGUAGGCCUAGGUAGUACUGGGGUGAGGGAUCACCCGGGAACUCUAGGUGCUGUAUGCCUC
rnacentral:rRNA from 1 species